UUUUAUGGAGAGUUUGAUCCUGGCUCAGGAUGAACGCUGGCGGCGUGCCUAAUACAUGCAAGUCGAGCGAACGGACGAGAAGCUUGCUUCUCUGAUGUUAGCGGCGGACGGGUGAGUAACACGUGGAUAACCUACCUAUAAGACUGGGAUAACUUCGGGAAACCGGAGCUAAUACCGGAUAAUAUUUUGAACCGCAUGGUUCA
rnacentral:rRNA from 1 species